CACCGGACAUUUUACUGUGGGAAACCAGGGACCCGGGGGACUGGCCGCCAUACAGCUCCCGCUGAAGAUGUCCUGAAAAACAGACUCCAGGCAUCGCAGGAAUUACUGAAUUUCCAAAGGAAAGGCCAUGUGAGGACACAGCAGCCUGACAACCAACUGCAAGCCAGGAAGAGAGUCCUCACCAGAACCUGGGCAUGCAUGCUGGCAUCCUCAUCUCAGACCUCCCAGUCUCCCGGACUGUGAGAAAGUAGACAUCUUUUGUUUGAGCCACCCAGUAUAUGGACACCGGCUUAAAGGAAUCCAGUGUGUGAAGCCGUGAGCCCAGUAAUUGUUCCUUGUGG